rnacentral:rRNA from 1 species
UCGAGCGGACAGAUGGGAGCUUGCUCCCUGAUGUUAGCGGCGGACGGGUGAGUAACACGUGGGUAACCUGCCUGUAAGACUGGGAUAACUCCGGGAAACCGGGGCUAAUACCGGAUGGUUGUUUGAACCGCAUGGUUCAGACAUAAAAGGUGGCUUCGGCUACCACUUACAGAUGGACCCGCGGCGCAUUAGCUAGUUGGUGAGGUAACGGCUCACCAAGGCGACGAUGCGUAGCCGACCUGAGAGGGUGAUCGGCCACACUGGGACUGAGACACGGCCCAGACUCCUACGGGAGGCAGCAGUAGGGAAUCUUCCGCAAUGGACGAAAGUCUGACGGAGCAACGCCGCGUGAGUGAUGAAGGUUUUCGGAUCGUAAAGCUCUGUUGUUAGGGAAGAACAAGUGCCGUUCAAAUAGGGCGGCACCUUGACGGUACCUAACCACAAAGCCACGGCUAACUACAUGCCAGCAGCCGCGGUAAUACGUAUGUGGCAAGCGUU